GAUGAACGCUGGCGGCGUGCCUAAUACAUGCAAGUCGAGCGAACGGACGAGAAGCUUGCUUCUCUGAUGUUAGCGGCGGACGGGUGAGUAACACGUGGAUAACCUACCUAUAAGACUGGGAUAACUUCGGGAAACCGGAGCUAAUACCGGAUGAUAUUUUGAACCGCAUGGUUCAAAAUUGAAAGACGGUCUUGCUGUCACUUAUAGGUGGAUCCGCGCUGCAUUAGCUAGUUGGUAAGGUAACGGCUUACCAAGGCAACGAUGCAUAGCCGACCUGAGAGGGUGAUCGGCCACACUGGAACUGAGACACGGUCCAGACUCCUACGGGAGGCAGCAGUAGGGAAUCUUCCGCAAUGGGCGAAAGCCUGACGGAGCAACGCCGCGUGAGUGGUGAAGAUCUUCGGAUCGUAAAACUCUGUUAUUAGGGAAGAACAUAUGUGUAAGUAACUGUGCACAUCUUGACGGUACCUAAUCAGAAAGCCACGGCUAACUACGUG
rnacentral:rRNA from 1 species